UGCAGUCGAGGGGUAACGGGGAGCUUGCUCCGCCGACGACCGGCGCACGGGUGCGCACCGCGUAUGGAACCUACCUUGUACAGGGGAAUAGCCUUUGGAAACGAAGAUUAAUGCCCCGUGGUACCAUGGCCCGGCAUCGGGAUAUGGUUAAAGCCUUCGGGCGGUACAAGAUGGCCAUGCGUCCCAUUAGCUUGUUGGUAAGGUAACGGCUUACCAAGGCUACGAUGGGUAGGGGCCCUGAGAGGGGGAUCCCCCACACUGGUACUGAGACACGGACCAGACUCCUACGGGAGGCAGCAGUGAGGAAUAUUGGACAAUGGAGGAGACUCUGAUCCAGCCAUGCCGCGUGCAGGAAGAAUGCCCUAUGGGUAGUAAACUGCUUUUAUACGGGAAGAAAAAGAGCUACGUGUAGCUUACUGACGGUACCGUAAGAAUAAGGACCGGCUAACUCCGUGCCAGCAGCCGCGGUAAUACGGAGGGUCCGAGCGUUAUCCGGAAUUAUUGGGUUUAAAGGGUCCGUAGGCGGGCCGAUAAGUCAGGGGUGAAAGUUUGCAGCUCAACUGUAAAAUUGCCUUUGAUACUGUUGGUCUUGAGUUAUAGUGAAGUUGCCGGAAUAUGUAGUGUAGCGGUGAAAUGCAUAGAUAUUACAUAGAACACCGAUUGCGAAGGCAGGUGACUAACUAUAUACUGACGCUGAUGGACGAAAGCGUGGGGAGCGAACAGGAUUAGAUACCCUGGUAGUCCACGCCGUAAACGAUGGAUACUAGCUGU
rnacentral:rRNA from 1 species